rnacentral:rRNA from 1 species
UACAGAGGGGGCAAGCGUUAUUCGGAAUUAUUGGGCGUAAAGGGCGCGUAGGCGGCCUGGCAAGUGGAAGGUGAAAUCCCUCGGCUUAACCGAGGAACUGCCCUCCAAACUGCUUGGCUUGAGUCCGGGAGAGGUGAGUGGAAUUCCCAGUGUAGCAGUGAAAUGCGUAGAUAUCGAGAGGAACACCAGUGGCGAAGGCGAGUCCCUGGACAACACCUGACACUGAGGCACGAAAGCUAGGGGAGCAAACAGG